GCGCCUGUAGCUCAACUGGAUAGAGCAACGGCCUUCUAAGCCGUAGGUUACAGGUUCGAUUCCUGUCAGGCGCACCA
rnacentral:tRNA from 1 species